rnacentral:rRNA from 1 species
GCUGGCGGCGUGCAUAACACAUGCAAGUCGAACGAGAAAUUCCGACUUCGGUUGGAAGAGUAGAGUGGCGCACGGGUGAGUAACGCGUGGGUAACCUGCCCUCGAAUCUGGGAUAACUUCGCGAAAGCGUUGCUAAUACCGGAUAUUGUCCUUUUUGCUGUGGCAUUUAGGAUAAAAGAUGACCUCUUCAUGAAAGUUGUCGUUUGAGGAGGGGCUCGCGUACCAUUAGCUUGUUGGUAGGGUAAUGGCCUACCAAGGCUACGAUGGUUAGCUGGUCUGAGAGGAUGAUCAGCCACACUGGAACUGAAACACGGUCCAGACUCCUACGGGAGGCAGCAGUGAGGAACUNNUUGCGCAAUGGGGGAAACCCUAGACGCAGCAACGCCGCGU